UAUUAAUGCUAUGAAAAAUAAUCUAGAUGGGAUAAAAGAAUCUUGUUGAUGAAGGCAAAAGUCCCCACUUCCCUGACUUUCUCUGGUAGGGAAUGAUCUUUUCUCAAAAGUUUCAGCCAGGAUCAUCCAUGGCCACUGUCCUGCGGGUCACAGAAGGAGCCUCUGAGUCACUGUCACAGGCUACCCCAGCUUCCCUCUGUCAUGUACCAGCUGUGAGGCUUCAGGAGGUGACUCAGCCGCCAUGUUUUCAGUAUUCUUGUGGAGCAACGGUUGUGAGAGUUAACUGCUGGUCUGGAAGAAUCUUGAAAGCAGGCACCUUGUUCUGCUGGAUUCUGGCUGUGGCUGGAUGUAAUCAAUGCUUGCUCAGUGAGUGAAUGAGGCAGUCAACCCAAUGCCUGGACCAGAGGAUACAACCCUUGAUCUUAACCCUUAAUCUUAGCAUGGAGGACUUCUGUGACUAAGGAAAGGACUCCCCCUUCAAUAAAUGGUGCUGAGGUAAUGAUAAAGUAUUUAGAAGCAAAUGUACUGAUAUCUAAAAUUUACUCUAAAAUGUGUCAAAAAUAAGAUGGCUUGAUAGUGAGAUGUAUGCAUGGAAAUUUACAUAUGUGAUAAAAUCCAAAUCAAUGUUUAUAGUUGAAGCUAAUAAUAUGCAUACAAGUGUUUGUUUUAACAUUUUUUUUCAACUUUCUUGCAGGUUGGAACACUUUCAUAAUAAAAUAUUAGGAAAAAGGAAGGUAAAGUGAUGAUAUUUUAAGACAAACAAAAACUAGACGAAUUUAUCAUCAACAACAUGCACUAAAAAUAUUAAAAGAGUUUUUCAAGCAGAAGGAUAAUGAUUAAAAUUAUAAUGAUGCAAAUGUAGAAAUAAAUGAGCACAUGAAAAGCUAAAUAUUUGGACAAGAAGAAAUCAAUUUUGAAUGAAUAAAAUAAUAGUAAUAGUAAUUAUAUUAUAGAAUUUAAUAUAUGUUGAAUUAAAUGCAAGAUGGCAAUACCAACAGGAAGGGGGUGAAAGAGUUAAGCCUCUAGCACUGUGGGGUGGUGGUAAAAGUAUAAUAAAUCAAGGAUGCAUGUUACAAACUCUGCAGUGGUCACUAAAAGAGUGUACAACUGGUAAUCAAAGAGAAAGAAAAAAAGAAAAAAUUUAAAGCAUUUGAUUCAUUCAGAAGCAGACAAUAAAGGAGAGAACAGGAAACAUAAAAUACAUUGUUCAAAUAUUAAAACAGUAAGAUGAUAGAACAUAAAAUCAAAUAUAUCAGUCAUUCCUUUAAAUAUAUAUGCACUAAAUACUCCAAUUAAAAUACUUGACUUGUCAGACUAAAUGAAAAACUCAAUUGGCCAGGCACGGUGGCUCAUGCCUGUAAUCCCAGCACUUUUGGAGGCCAAGGUGGGUGGAUCACUUGAGCCCAGGAGUUUGAGACUAGCCUGGACAAAAUGGUGAGAGCCUAUCUCUACAAAAAAUACAAAAAUAACCUGGCAUAGUAUUUCCAGCUACUGGGGAUGCUGAGGUGGGAGCAGUGUUUCAGCUCAAGGCUCAAGUGAGUUGAGGCUGUAGUGAGCUGUGAUUGUGCCACUGCACUCCAGCCUGGGUGAUAGAGUGACACCCUGUCUCAAAAAAAAUAAACAAGUAAAAAUUUAAAAAUAAGAUUGAACUAUAUUCUGCUGACAAGGAACAUAACCAUCAGAGUUGAAGAAAGUACAAAGGAAGUGUCAGGUGUGUACACUGAUAUUUGUAAAUCUUUACUUAGUGAAACUAAAGAAGAACUAAAUAAACAUCAUAUGCCAUCUUCAUGGAUGGAUGAGAUAUAAAGGUGCCGAUAGUCCCUGUAUUAGUCUGUUCUCACACCACUAUGAAGAAAUACCCGAGACUGGGUAAUUUGUAAAGGAAAAAAGCUUAACUGACUAACAGUUCCACAUGGCUUGGGAGGCCUCAGGAAACUUAUAAUCAUAGCAGAAGGCUAAGGAGAACCAGGCAUCGUCUUAACAGGGCUGCAGUACAGAGUGAGUGCAAGCAGGUGAAAUGUCAGGUGCAUAUAAAACCAUCAGAUCUUGUGAGAACUCACUCACUGCCAUGAGAGCAGCAUGGGGGAAACGGCCCCCAUGAUUAAAUUAUCUCCAGCUAGUCCUGCCCUUGACACAUGGGGAUUAUGGGGAUUACAAUUCAAGAUGAGAUUUGGGCGGGGACACAAAGCCUAACCAUAUCAGUUCCCAAACUCAUCUAUGUGUUUAAGGCAAUGCAAUCUGAUUAAGUUAUUUCUUUUUUAAACGAAAAGGGGAAAAUAAAUUUUAUGAUGCUAAAAUUUUAAAAGACAAAGCAGUAUCAAGUUCGACAGAAAUGUGUGAAGACUGGCUUUCUGUCACACUCAGGGUAGGAAUGCAAAUUUGCACCACUUUGCAAAUCUGUUCAUCAGGAUCUACUCUGACCGCACCCACCCUCAACACUAUGUAGGAUAUGUACACUAUUACAAUACUCUAUACCUGGAAACAGUACACCUUAAGCAGAAUGGAUCAAUAUACCUGGCAUACUCACACCACAGAAUACUACACAGCAAUAUGAGUG
rnacentral:lncRNA from 1 species